UACUUGACUAUAGAUGCUUUUAGCAGGCGAAACGAGUUUUACAUAAGGCAGAUCUGAAGUUAGAAAUGGACGUCGCAGUUAAUAUAGAUUAGUGUUAUGAAAGCAAUGGUGUGCGUGAGUUUUGUUUCAUGCUCCUGGUUACUGACAGCAUCGGAGUUUGGAAUGGCAACUUCAGUUUUUCUGCUACUUCAGCGUACUUUGCUCACAUUUAAAUAUGAUGGUUUUUAAAUACACUACUAACAGUAUUGGUUGUAAAUUAAAAGUUGCAUCGAAAGAUCCUUGGGAAAUAUGCGAGGUUUCGGCAAAACGCCUGAAACUUGGAUUGAUUCAAGAAUUGGAUUCUCGUCUCGUUUACGAAGAGGAGCAAUGCAAUGUUUCCAGAAGUGGAACGUAAAUAGUGGAGAAAAUGUGUACAUCAUUCCUGGACCCUUCCAAUCAUGUCACCAUGGAUAGAUUUAUCAGGCACUCUCCAUUCAAGACACCCGUACUUGAAAGAAGUGCAGAUUCUAAUUUCCAUGCAAGUCGUGUGAUCUACGUAUGGCAUUCAUAAUUAGUCUGACCUGCUACAAGUCGUCUGAUUUUGUUUUGGAGCUUGAAAGUCAAAGAUCCAUACCUUUUUGGGGGCAAUCAUCGAUUAUUUACAGUCCAGUUAGAACUUCAGAACACUAAGGCUUUGUAAAUGAGUACCAAUUUUCAUGUCAUUUUUCUUAUGAUGUAUUUGAUGUAAAUUUGAAGUUUACAAAAUAUUAAAGCUUGGAGCUUAUUACCAACCCUAUUUGAAUUAAUGUAAAUUUUAAAUUCAAUAUAUAUAUUAAACUCUAGUUUAUUUAAGCAGUUAAAAUCUAAGAUAAAACAUUCCGAAAUUUACUGUUUAGGCGUUAAAGGGAUUGCUUGUUGCUUGAAGUAUCUUCACGAAGUUCGAGAUUUUUGAAAUUAUAAGACCCUAUGUCGCGAGUUUCUUAGUCCAAAAUGUUUGACCUAGUUAAGGAAUAAUCCAAAUAAAGUGCAAAAUUCUAAAUCGGACUUAAAAUAUUUAAGAAUAAAUACAAAGUUCUGAAAUCUCUGAAUAAAAAAUUUAUAAAAGUACAAAUUUCUCAUUAAUUAUCCGAAUCCAAAGAUCUUCAGACAUUCUGCAAGAUUGGAUAGAUAAAACCUCAAUCGGGUAAAAUUUGUCAAGCUCUCGAAUGCCAAAAAUGGCUUAAAUUGAGCUAGUUAGAAGCUUAACGUAACGCUAAAAUGGUGCUUCGAAUUCUUUCCGAUGAAUUUCGGAUAAGCGGAUUACCGGAUUUGAUCAACGAAUUUUCGUAUCAUUUUCAAAAUUUCUGAUGUUGAAAGUAUGAAGUUAAGUUUCUUUAUAACGAAGAGUGUCCGCACUCGGGAAGAACAAAGCAAGGUAAUGUAUAAAUUCAGUGGUACAGGAACUGGGGUGGUGGUGAACGAUUAGUUAUUAAUAGGAUGAAUUCAAAUUAAAGCGAUUAGGAAGCUCCUGCUCUUACAAAACUAAUAUCUAACCCAUUUAAUUUUAUGACGUUGCCUCUCUUCCUUUUCCACUUAAAUACGAGGGGGUUGCCAAUGUUUCAUAUAUGGGUUCGAGGAUUGACAUUGCGCUUAAGGUAAUUGUAAGACACACGAUAGGGUUAGGAAGAACGUUUGCAUGACCACCCAUUCCCUGUUUCGGGAAGUGGAGGGCGAGGUAAAUGUCAGCCGGCUGGUAAGAGGGUGGGAGUGCCUGCGAGAUAAAAUCCUGUUUCUCCCCUUACCCCAAUUUUGUAAAGAAGCUUACUUUAUACUUUCAGCUUUGGAAACGUAGGAACGAGUUCUUAAAGCAAAAAAAAAAAAAAAUCAUCGACGCAUUCGAAACUAUUCAUUUAACGUAUAGCAAUAAAAGUAAACAGUCCGUUUCGACAUUAUUUUUGCGGUAAUUUUAAUUCGUAUCUUUAUUUUGCUCUAAGUUAAUAUAAUGUGCAUUUUGAGAAGGCUUCAGUUUUUGUAAAUUCAUCUUGAAUAUGAAUAAGGCAGAGUAUCUAAGUAAUCAAAACUAAUAAUUUUCAGAUUCAGAAAACUUCUCAAACAAGUAUCUAAUAAACGGUACAAAUUACUUUAACUUUAGGGGUGAUCGAUAUAAACUUUUCAAUCGAAGAAUGGGUAAAUGUAGCAUAAUUGAACUUUCUAAUUGACCAUUUUAUUCUAGACCCCACACCAUUUAUGUAUGUAGGAGCGAUGCUUCAAGCAACCUCGUCAUGUUCCGAAUUUUUAGAUAAUUCCCCCUGCGUAUUAAAUAUCGUGUCAUUUUAAAGAAUUAAUGAUCUUGUUUUUAAACUGAUGAAUUAAUUGCUCUUCUCUGAACUAAUUACCAGUUUAAUUUUCAAAAUUAUAGCUCUUUAAUGUUGAAUCUUCAAUUCUGAAUUUAAUAGAAAUUGGAAAAAAUCUGGAAAAUUUUUCUCUAUGCAAAGGGUUGUUGAUUAGUUCCAAAGCAGCUUGCUACAAUAUGAUAGAGGUACAUGUAUUUUUCAGUAACAAUACUUUAUUAAUCAGCUACUUGUUCAUUUUGAUGUAUGAUCUAUAUAUUUGUAAAGGGUUCUUCCAAGAAGCUAUAACAUUUAAGAAAUUCGAUAUGAAUUGCAUUUAUUCAGAAUUAAAUGAUCGUAUGAAAUUCAAAUGUCAAUAUUUUAAAACCUGCUGUUAGUGUACGGGAUGCGAAAUUACUGCAAUGUUUAGAUAAUUGAAAUGCAAAUCUGAAGAUACUCCAACAGACCAUACUGAGGCUGGGCGAUGCUCUUAAAAUGAGUGAAGUUCAUUUAAAAAUGUAACUGUUAUUGUAUUCAUGCAAAGGUUCUUUAUAAAAAUAAGGUCAGCAAGCAUAUCAGUCUAUUUUUGUUAUGAGUAUUUGAUUUAUCUGCCAGUUUUUCAUAUAUUUCAUUCGAAUUUGCGACGUAAGUUUAAUUGUUAUUCGUUGAAAUAAAUGGUUUUUGUGAAACAGAAAUGUUGGUUAGCUUGCUAAUUAGUGCAAUUUAGUUUAAAAUGCAUCUUAUAACAGCUUGGAUAUUUGCUUGUGUGCUUAUUCACCAAGUAAUACUUCAAUAACAACGAUUUGCGUAUCAAGUUUCCGAAGUAGAUGGAGUGUAUCAGUGCCUAAAUGAAUUCCACGUUCCUGGACUCGAAGACGCACAUGAAACGUGCAUGUUUCAAAACUGCACAACAUGCAUACAUAAUCUAUAAUGUCUGCAGAAUGCAACUUGCAUCAAAUCUGGUGCAACGAGUCCAUUUAUUAAUGGUUUCAUCACACUCCCAAACUUUAUGAAUACUUCUCUGAUCGAUUUAUAACUAUUUGUCCUACCUUCCAUCAUGAUUCGAGAGUAUCUGGCUUGAAGUUUUCUUUUAAUUAUGGGGUCUUUGAAACUGGUGCCGAGUCGAUAUCGUUAAUGGUUUCAUGAUAUUCUUUUACUCUUUGAACAUUCCUCAAAGAAAUUUUCUGAGAUUUCAUGGGUUUAUAGCUCGGUAUCUUGAUCCUAUUUCGCCAAUUUUCUGAAACUUGCUUUCAUAUUCUUUCAUAGUACCUUUAACAGUCAAUUUCAUUGUCAGUCACAUAUUCUGGUGAAAAGGUGUCACUUCAGUGGGGAUGUUAUCAUAAUUCCGGCCCCACAUAAUUUUCAGCCAGUGAAUUGAUACGUGGAACCUGUCUACUUACACAGAACAUUCCAAUUUUAGUCUUGGAUUUCACUUCUAUGCAACCUAGUGUUAAAACUAUUCUUGGUGGGCAAAUUACAAGGGCAGCCUUUGCAAAUGCCAGUUCGUAGAAUCAGUGCUCGUUAUACGGAGAAAUUAUUGGCUUGAAGAAAAAGGCUUUAGUUUGUUGACCCUGGUUUCCUGGUAUUGGUCUAUCAAAGCUAGGGCCAAAUAACCUGCCACGAGAUUAAAGCGAAAAUAUUAGAAUUUAUGCGCGAUCUAGCUGAUGGUUAUAUUUCUUGAAUAACCAGUCUCUUUUAGCCGCGAUUUGCUGCAUAAUUUAAAUAAUCAAGGGAAUAAAUAUUUGAGACUGGAACAGAACAUCUUGAUUAAAUAUCUAGAAUGGAAUUUUUCAUGUAUUAAUGAUGCAAAGUGGUUAACGCAGUGUAUAUGAAGGAAUUGAUCUUGCACUGAGAAUUAUAUACAUUUUACUUAUUGUAUACAAGGAAUAAUUUUAAUGCUUCAAUUUCGCUAAGCAAAUGUUUUUAUUUUGAUAAUCAAGAAUACAUGAGUGAUGCAGAGAUGAGUAUGAUCCGAGAUAAGACCUCAGAUUAAAUGUGCAAUGCGGAGGAGUAGCUAGAUUUCAUGCAGAAUUCUGAGUGGCUAAACUAUUAGCAGUAUUUUGCUUCCCAACUUGGAUUUUAGCUGAUGUUCCAAAAUGAUUUUGGCAGUCCUAUAAUUAUUGCAUACGACCUGCUUGCUCAGUUUUCCUAAAUUGUUACUGUCAAAUUCGACUCCAUCUUCAAAAAUCGCGC